rnacentral:rRNA from 1 species
UGGGGAAUAUUGGACAAUGGGGGCAACCCUGAUCCAGCAAUGCCGCGUGUGUGAAGAAGGCCUGCGGGUUGUAAAGCACUUUCAGUGGGGAGGAGGUUUUGUUGGUUAAGAGCUGAUGAGAUGGACGUUACCCACAGAAGAAGCACCGGCUAACUCCGUGCCAGCAGCCGCGGUAAUACGGAGGGUGCGAGCGUUAAUCGGAAUUACUGGGCGUAAAGGGUGCGUAGGUUGUUGAAUAAGUUAUCUGUGAAAUCCCCGGGCUUAACCUGGGCAGGUCAGAUAAGACUGUUUGACUCGAGUAUGGGAGAGGGUAGUGGAAUUUCCGGUGUAGCGGUGAAAUGCGUAGAGAUCGGAAGGAACACCAGUGGCGAAGGCGGCUACCUGGCCUGUUACUGACACUGAAGCACGAAAGCGUGGGGAGCAAACAGG